rnacentral:snRNA from 1 species
UUUCUCUUCAGAGCACAUAAAUCUUACACCUUUUACUAA